GAUGAAGAACGUAGCGAAAUGCGAUACGUAAUGUGAAUUGCAGAAUUCAGUGAAUCAUCGAGUCUUUGAACGCACAUUGCGCCCCCUGGUAUUCCGGGGGGCAUGCCUGUCCGAGCGUCAUUGCUGCCCUCAAGCACGGCUUGUGUGUUGGGCCUCCGUCCUCCUCCCGGGGGACGGGCCCGAAAGGCAGCGGCGGCACCGCGUCCGGUCCUCGAGCGUAUGGGGCUUCGUCACCCGCUCUUGUAGGCCCGGCCGGCGCUUGCCGACACAUCAAUCUUUUUUCCAGGUUGACCUCGGAUCAGGUAGGGAUACCCGCUGAACUUAAGCAUAUCAAGAAGCGGAGGA
rnacentral:misc_RNA from 1 species